rnacentral:rRNA from 1 species
UACAGAGGGGGCAAGCGUUGUUCGGAAUUACUGGGCGUAAAGGGCGCGUAGGCGGCCUGCUAAGUCGAACGUGAAAUCCCCGAGCUCAACUCGGGAACUGCGUCCGAUACUGGCAGGCUUGAAUCCGGGAGAGGGAUGCGGAAUUCCAGGUGUAGCGGUGAAAUGCGUAGAUAUCGAGAGGAACACCUGCGGCGAAGGCGGGUUGCUGGGCCGACACUGACGCUGAGGCGCGAAAGCCAGGGGAGCGAACGGG